AAUCAACGCUGGCGGCGUGCCUCAGACAUGCAAGUCGAACGAUUAAAGCUCUCUUCGGAGAGUGUAUAGAGUGGCGCACGGGUGAGUAACACGUAAGUAAUCUACCUUUGAGUGGGGAAUAACCCGGGGAAACCCGAGCUAAUACCGCAUAAUGCAGCGGCACCGCAAGGUGACAGUUGUUAAAGGAGCAAUCCGCUUAAAGAGGAGCUUGCGGCAGAUUAGCUAGNGGUAAGGUAAUGGCUUACCAAGGCUUCGAUCUGUAUCCGGCCUGAGAGGGCGGUCGGACACACUGACACUGAAUAACGGGUCAGACUCCUACGGGAGGCAGCAGUCGGGAAUUUGGGCAAUGGGCGAAAGCCUGACGCAGCGACGCCGCGUGAGGGAUGACGGCCU
rnacentral:rRNA from 1 species